rnacentral:rRNA from 1 species
UACGUAGGGCGCAAGCGUUAUCCGGAAUUAUUGGGCGUAAAGAGCUCGUAGGCGGUUUUGUCGCGUCUGCCGUGAAAGUCCGGGGCUCAACUCCGGAUCUGCGGUGGGUACGGGCAGACUAGAGUGAUGUAGGGGGAGACUGGAAUUCCUGGUGUAGCGGUGAAAUGCGCAGAUAUCAGGAGGAACACCGAUGGCGAAGGCAGGUCUCUGGGCAUUAACUGACGCUGAGGAGCGAAAGCGUGGGGAGCGAACAGG